GCUAUNNUGCAGUCGAGCGAACNGAUGAAGUGCUUGCACUUCUGACGUUAGCGGCGAACGGGUGAGUAACACGUAAGGAAUCUACCUAUAAGCGGGGGAUAACAUUCGGAAACGGGUGCUAAUACCGCAUAAUAUCUUCUUCCGCAUGGAAGAAGAUUGAAAGACGGCUCUGCUGUCACUUAUAGAUGACCUUGCGGUGCAUUAGUUAGUUGGUGGGGUAACGGCCUACCAAGACGAUGAUGCAUAGCCGACCUGAGAGGGUGAUCGGCCACAUUGGGACUGAGACACGGCCCAAACUCCUACGGGAGGCAGCAGUAGGGAAUCUUCCGCAAUGGGCGAAAGCCUGACGGAGCAAUGCCGCGUGAGUGAAGAAGGCCUUCGGGUCGUAAAACUCUGUUAUAAGAGAAGAACAAAUUGUAGAGUAACUGCUACAGUCUUGACGGUAUCUUAUCAGAAAGCCACGGCUAACUACGUGCCAGCAGCCGCGGUAAUACGUAGGUGGCAAGCGUUGUCCGGAUUUAUUGGGCGUAAAGGGAGCGCAGGUGGUUUCUUAAGUCUGAUGUGAAAGCCCACGGCUUAACCGUGGAGGGUCAUUGGAAACUGGGAAACUUGAGUACAGAAGAGGAAUGUGGAACUCCAUGUGUAGCGGUGGAAUGCGUAGAUAUAUGGAAGAACACCAGUGGCGAAGGCGACAUUCUGGUCUGUUACUGACACUGAGGCUCGAAAGCGUGGGGAGCAAACAGGAUUAGAUACCCUGGUAGUCCACGCCGUAAACGAUGAGUGCUAGGUGUUGGAGGGUUUCCGCCCUUCAGUGCCGCAGUUAACGCAUUAAGCACUCCGCCUGGGGAGUACGACCGCAAGGUUGAAACUCAAAGGAAUUGACGGGGACCCGCACAAGCGGUGGAGCAUGUGGUUUAAUUCNAAGCAACGCNNNNNACCUUACCAAGUCUUGANAUCCUUUGACCACCCUAGAGNNNGGGCUUUCCCUUCGGGGACANAGUGACAGGU
rnacentral:rRNA from 1 species